UGGCGUGGUCGUUCUGCACAAUUUUCUACUUCUGGAGAGGAGAGGUCCUGGGAUUCUCUUCGAGAAAACAGGGACUUGGGUGGGCGAUAUGACUCCAGACAGCCAGAUGCAAAUCAAUUUAAUCGUCAGGACCAACUCAAUUCUCAAUUUGCAAUAGCACAAAUCUCGUCUAAUCAAUUGGGAGGUCCUGCUCCAGCUUUAGUCAAGGCUGAGGUUCCAUGGUCGGCUAGAAGGGGGAAUCUUUCUGAGAAGGAACGAGUCUUGAAGACUGUUAAAGGUAUAUUGAACAAGCUUACCCCUGAGAAAUUUGAUCUUCUCAAGGGUCAACUCAUUGACUCUGGCAUUACAUCGGCCG
rnacentral:misc_RNA from 1 species